UGAUCAUUUUCCAGCACACCAUAAUACCCAUCCAACACCUUCUGAGCUUUUGCCUGAACCUUGUUAGCAAAGCAUUUGAAUUUCAGGCUGAUGCCUUUGCCAAGAACCUUGGAUAUGCCCCUCAGCUCCGAGCGGCCCUUGUUAAACUACAGG